UACGGGGGUGCUAGCGUUGUCCGGAAUUACUGGGCGUAAAGCGCGCGUAGGUGGUUUGUUAAGUUGGAUGUGAAAUCCCCGGGCUCAACCUGGGAACUGCAUUCAAAACUGACUGACUAGAGUAUGGUAGAGGGUGGUGGAAUUUCCUGUGUAGCGGUGAAAUGCGUAGAUAUAGGAAGGAACACCAGUGGCGAAGGCGACCACCUGGACUAAUACUGACACUGAGGUGCGAAAAGCGUGGGGGA
rnacentral:rRNA from 1 species